rnacentral:misc_RNA from 1 species
CGCAGGAUGAUCCUGAACUGCCGGACCUUGUAACUCUCAGAAAGGUCCAAAAAGGUCUUGGCUCCGAAUCUGAUGAUGCUGGGCCUAGUGAGAACAACUCAAUGGAAGUUGGUAGCACUAGUAUACCAAGCACAAGAUCUCGUAGGAGUUUUCAGCAGAAAUCAGGAGUAGGUAAACCAGAUACCAUAAUAGGCUCACCCAUUUUGUUGACAUCUAAAAGCACAAGCCAAGGGAUGCAUGCUAGUGCGAACAGGUAUGGUUUAAGAAACCUUAGNNNNNNNAUCAGAUGUUGUCCCUACAGGAUCCUCAACAUCAAAACCAAAUUUCCUUAGACGAAAAGAUGGGGUCAAGAAGAGAAUUUGUGAUAGAGAAAGUACUUCCUCUGCCAGAGGGAAGAAAAUAAGUGGUCCAUCAUUGGAAGGGCAGAAUUCUAGUUCCAGCUCUGGUGUCUCGAUUUCCAAUUCAAGAACCAGAAAUGGGACUCCCAGCCAGGACAGUGGUCCUGUGUCAGUUAGGACUCGAAGAUCACUCAGUUACACUAGGACAAGGGUUGCUAAUCACGGAAGUGGGAAUAAUUUAUCACCAAAUGGGCCCCAUGUAAUCCCACAAAUUUCUCAGCCUAUUUUACGAAAUGAUUCAAAUUCACCUACCUCUUCACAUCAAUUCUCUAUGGAAUCCUCCCUAAGUCACUCACGUUCUUAUGGUCUAUCUGGUAGUAGCCAAGAGAGUUUUCGGGGCAUUAGGCUAUCUACUCCUGCAGAAGUUGGUGACAUCCGUUCUUCCAUGAGUCAGGAGAGCUUCUGGCGCCACAAUAUGGAUGGAAUUGCUGAGGUGUUAUUGGCACUUGA